rnacentral:misc_RNA from 1 species
GAUGAAGAACGUAGCGAAAUGCGAUACGUAAUGUGAAAUGCAGAAUUCAGUGAAUCAUCGAGUCUUUGAACGCACAUUGCGCCCCCUGGUAUUCCGGGGGGCAUGCCUGUCCGAGCGUCAUUGCUGCCCUCAAGCACGGCUUGUGUGUUGGGCCUCCGUCCUCCUCCCGGGGGACGGGCCCGAAAGGCAGCGGCGGCACCGCGUCCGGUCCUCGAGCGUAUGGGGCUUCGUCACCCGCUCUUGUAGGCCCGGCCGGCGCUUGCCGACACAUCAAUCUUUUUUCCAGGUUGACCUCGGAUCAGGUAGGGAUACCCGCUGAACUUAAGCAUAUCAAUAAGCGGAGGA